GAGAUGUGGGUUAGUCCGCACGAGCGCACCUUGUCCCUAGUUACCAGCACGUUAAGGUGGGAACUCUAGGGAGACCGCCGGUGAUAAACCGGAGGAAGGUGGGGACGACGUCAAGUCAUCAUGGCCCUUAUGGGCAGGGCUACACACGUGCUACAAUGGCGAAUACAGAGGGCCGCGAACCUGCAAAGGUAAGCUAAUCCCUUAAAGCUCGUCGUAGUCCGGAUCGGAGUCUGCAACUCGACUCCGUGAAGUCGGAAUCGCUAGUAAUCGCGAAUCAGAAUGUCGCGGUGAAUACGUUCCCGGGUCUUGUACACACCGCCCGUCACACCAUGGAAGUUGGUUGCACCAGAAGUAGGUAGCUUAACCCUCGGGAGGGCGCUUACCACGGUGUGGUCAAUGACUGGGGUGAAGUCGUAACAAGGUAGCCGUACGGGAACGUGCGGCUGGAUCACCUCCUUU
rnacentral:rRNA from 1 species